rnacentral:rRNA from 1 species
UAAGCAUGUAGGCUGGUUGUCCAGGCAAAUCCGGAUAACCAAGGCUGAGGUGUGAUGACGAGGUACUACGGUGCUGAAGUAACAAAUGCCCUGCUUCCAGGAAAAGCCUCUAAGCAUCAGGUAACAUCAAAUCGUACCCCAAACCGACACAGGUGGUCAGGUAGAGAAUACCAAGGCGCUUGAGAGAACUCGGGUGAAGGAACUAGGCAAAAUGGUGCCGUAACUUCGGGAGAAGGCACGCUGGUGUGUAGGUGA